UAAAUUAUUUCCAUUACAUACUAUUUCAGACUAGUCAAUAUGAUUUGAAAUUAUUUUCACUGUUAUGAUCCAUAGAAUAAGAAAUGUUCAUUUUACUAAGUUCUUUUAAGAAAAAAUUGCUUUCUUUGAUAAAAUAAUAAACACAAUAUUCAAGUGUUGACCUUUCUAUUUAUUAUCUUUUGUUAUUUCUAUUUGCUUUCUUUUUUUAUUUCCACUAAGCCUUUGAGAAGAUGUUUUCCCUCAGUUCUACAAGCAAUUUCACCACUUCCUCCACAUCUGUUUCGAUAGUCACUUUGUUGAGGCCCUUUUAGAGGAUAAUGGUAAGGCCUUUGUACAUAGCCCAUAGCUCUGUCUCAAGGCUGGUACAGUUUUCUAGUCUGCCAUAGAAGCCACAAAUCCAUGCUCCCUUUUCAUCUCUAAUCAGUCCUCCAAAGCCUCCAGGUUUGGCAAUUCUGUAGCAUCCAUCAAUGUUCAUCUUGAGGGUACCUGAAGGAGGAAGCAUCCACUUGAUUAGCAUAAGUGUUGAUCUUAGGAGACAAAAAAGAAUAAUGGGGUUCCUGCUAGUCGGUCACGAGUGUGGAUGGCCGCAUACAUGAAAGAUGGGAUGUCAAAUAGUGAUUCAGUUAAUGAGGUUAUGACUCAAAUGAAUGAGUUAGCAGAGCACAUGGAGGGAUCUUCUACUGACCCUGCAGCAUUACAGGAGCAAAUCUUCACACAAGUUAUGGGCCCAGAGCGACCUGGCCGUGUUCGAACGUUUGGAUUGGGACCGCCA